rnacentral:lncRNA from 1 species
CAGGUAUAGUGAGAAUGGUUUUCUUACGAAAGAGUAAAAAGAGUAAAGUAAACAAGAGAAAGCAGAAAACAGAACAAGAGACAGAAAACUAAGAGCAAGUGAUAGGUCAGAGUAAGUUAAAAAGAAAAGGUUAGAGUUGUCUGGGAAUGGAUGGUAGGUGAGGCAGAGAAAAAGGGUUAGCUUUUUCCAUAGAUUCCCGAGGGAAGUUCCAUUUGCUUUAGCUUGGAUCUUCACCCUGACAUAGUAGAGCCUAACACAUUAAGCACAGUGACGUCAGAUACGUUCACUUAGAAGUGCUCAGAUGUGUAAGUUAGUUGUUUUGAACCUCAGUGUUUCGCUUUCCUUGUUGUUGUGAGCUGUUGAUAGGAUUGGGUUUGAUGACUUCUGGGCUUAGAGUGUUUUCCUUGGGUCAGUGGACCUGAGAGUGUGAUCCAUCUGAUG